GAUUAACACCCUGCUCGGCCUGAUGUCCCCGUCGUUUGGUCAUGCCAUGCGCGUCUGUAAGGUGUUGAGGUCCGAGUUUUGGAGGCAAGUCAGAACCUUUGCUGAUUGGUUGCGGGUGAACUAUUUUGAGCAGCUUCCAGCGUGGGUGGCGGUCAGAAGGUAUGAGGCGCUGAGAGCACAGAUUGCACGCACGACCGAGGCCUUGUGGGGCGUUCAGCUGGCAGCGCUCCUUAGGGCGACCACGGCCCAGAUGCCUACACCGGUACGGCGUAAGGACCCGGUGGUUUUGGGUGAUGUCAGUCUUCCAGAGGAAGUUUCUUCCAUGCUCAGGAAAGGUCCCAAGUAUAGCCUUGAACCCGUCAUUCCCACGCAUGAGUUGCUGGCCCUCAACCGUCGUGUGGCUGAGAGGGCCCAACAGGAGGACAAGGGUAGGUGCACCGCAGAGGGUGUUGAGGUGAUGGAAAGGACCGUACGCCGCCCUCCGCAAAGAGGCAUAUGCCGCGUAGGCAAGGUGGUGGAGUUUUGCCGGAGCAAUGGGUUGCGCCUUCUGCAGUCUGACAAGGAAGGCGGGUUUGUUGUGCUCCCGGAGGGUGUAUUUGCAGAGAAGGCCGGGAGGGCCGUGGAGAAGAACUUCCGUCAAGUCCAAGUCUGUGAAUCGAGGGCCAGGAAGAUGGCGGCAGCGUUGUGUGACGACUGCUUUUGAAUUGCAACGCCUUGCUAAGGCAGUGAAGGGCAGCAAAAGCGGGACAUUGGCGAUGUUUUUCACAGCCAAGACGCACAAGCCUGAGGUACCGUUCCGGACAAUUGUCAGCGAAAAGGGCACUUGGCAGCUCCAUUGAGGAGUUCUGGUGAGGUCAUCGGCUUGCUGGAGGGAUUGACAUCAGUGGGAUAUCUGUUCUCCGUGGACGUGGUGGAUUUAUUCUAUUCUGUGCCUCACCAGGAACUGUUUUGUGCUGUCAGGGACUGCGUUGAGGUGAAUGGUGUGAUCGCCUUUCAGAAUGCUUCUGGGCUUGCCGUGAUAAUUUCAUGACUCUUUUGGAGUUCUAUUUGGGGGCGACGGUAGUGCAGCAUGAGGAUAGGCUGUUUUUGCAGCGUCGGGGUAUUUGCAUCGGGUCGUGUGUUGCGCCGGUUUUGUGUGACAUUUUUCUGUCCGAAAGGGUUGUCGUUCACGUCAGAGCUACAGGCGAAUGGGCGUAUACAGUUCCUGGACCUUAAUAUCCGUGUUGGGGAGAAGCGCUUGUGUUGGGCCUUCCACCCGAGGGCAAAGAAGGACCUGAUGCCUUUUGACUCGGCCCAAUCUAAGACUGUGAAGCGCGCUAUUGCUUUGCUCUGCUAGGAAUCCGCUUUAAAGAAGUCUUGUGAGCACGUUUUGUUGGAGAGUUUCACGGCCCAGGUUGACAGGUUGGGUGCUGCUGGAUUCCCCAAGGAAUCCAGCAUUUGGCGGCAUUUGGCAGCAAAUCAUAUGGCGUGAUGCUGGAUUCCCCACAAGGCUGUUGGCGAGUGUAGCCGAAGGCCUUCUCCAAAAGGUUAAAGGAAAGGUGCGGAAACCUAGGGGGGAAGUGGCGAGGGGUUCUACUAGAUGUAUGGUUGUUCCGUACGUGCACAGAGUAUCGCACAAUUUGAAAAGAGUGGCUAAUAGGUACGGUGUACCUAUGGUAUUUUCGGCACCUUGCAAGCUCUCGGGCCUUUGUUCGAAAGUUGAUCGUAGUAAGCCUAAAGUCUCUUGUGGCAGGAGCCAUCAGCACCAGUACGUUAGCUGUGCGGUGGGGGUAGUUUAUGAGAUCCCACUCACAUGCGAUAGGGUGUACAUUGGCCAGACUGGCCGGUGUGUUAACGACAGGGCCCGAGAUGAUGAAAGGUCUUUGUCUAGUGCGGACACGCGUCAUUUGCCUAUGCAUGUUACCAAAUGUAAGUGUACUCCGCUAUUUAGUCAGAUUGUCGUGCUAUCUAGGAGCACAGAUAAGGGUGCGCGGGAGUUAUCUGAAGCGUUUUUUAUCGGGGAUAGAGGCGGUAGGUGUGUGAGCCAAACUUCUGUGUCUUUGUUAUCGGGGGAGAGGAGGAUGUUGUCGCGGCGGUAGUGAUUGUGUCUGUCCGAGCGUCUGCGCUUUUGGACCAAGGUGGGGUGACUGGGUUGGCGGCUGUGCGCCUGCGUACUGGUUUUUGUGUUAUUAAACUGUUCGUUGGAGUCA